UACAGAGGGGGCAAGCGUUAUUCGGAAUUAUUGGGCGUAAAGGGCGCGUAGGCGGCCUGGCAAGUGGAAGGUGAAAUCCCUCGGCUUAACCGAGGAACUGCCCUCCAAACUGCUUGGCUUGAGACCGGGAGAGGUGAGUGGAAUUCCCAGUGUAGCGGUGAAAUGCGUAGAUAUCAUUUGGAACGCCAAUGGUGAAAACAGGUAGCUGGGAGUGUGCUGACGCUGAGACACGAAAGCCAGGGGAGCGAACGGG
rnacentral:rRNA from 1 species